rnacentral:rRNA from 1 species
AUGGACUCCGCCGAUUGGGGCCUCGAGGCGGUCGUGAGGAGCUGCGGCGGCUCGACCUUAGCUCCCGGCUCGGAAGCAGAGCCAGAGGGUACUGCGGCGCGGGUUCGCCGGGAAGUCACCGCCGGUGUGGAGUUCGUCGGGCAACGGAUGAAGCCGGCGUCCUCCUGGUCGUUGUACGACGGCCUGGAGCGGCCUCGGGCGCCAUUUUCCAUCACGCCGUCGUCGACAUCCCGCGAGCGCAACGUGCUCAUCUCCUUCUCAACGUUCGGGCAGACGCUGCCGGGAAGGAAGCAGGCUGGCCGGAAACCGGGCGUUGGCACUCCCACUCCCAGGCGGCGGAAAACAAGCAAGAAGAAGGUGGUGCGGUUGGCGCCGGCGGCCCACGGCGGCGUCAACAACGGCACCGUCGACGACCUGUGGGCAUGGCGCAAGUACGGCCAGAAACCUAUCAAGGCCUCCCCGUUUCCUCGAGCCUGCUACAAGUGCAGCAGCCUUAGGGCGUGCACGGCGCGGAAGCUGGUGGAUCGCAGCCCGGCCAAGCCCGAGGUGCUUAUCGUCACGUACAUCGAAGACCAUUGCCACGCUGUGCCCGUGCCGAUCAACGCGCUCGCCGGCACGGCGCACCACCCACCCAAGUCACCGCGCGGCACGACGACGUCAGGCGAGGCGGUCUCAGCCAGGCGCGAGGUGGACAACGCCGACGUACCGCCUUGCAUCGCUGAGGAGUUGGCGGACGACAAGUCCAAGCUCCGGGCACCCGUGGGGCUGGACGAUUUCUACGGCUCUUUCGACAACACCGUGUUCUCGAGGACGUGGGCGACGGGUUUCUUCCCUGUAGUUUGUGGAGCUGAUUUGCACAAGAAAAUAGGCAUUGUGUACUACUACCUCCCGUUGUAA